UACGUAGGGUGCAAGCGUUAUCCGGAAUUAUUGGGCGUAAAGAGCUCGUAGGCGGUUUGUCACGUCUGCUGUGAAAACUGGAGGCUCAACCUCCAGCCUGCAGUGGAUACGGGCUAGCUAGAGUGCGGUAGGGGAGACUGGAAUUCCUGGUGUAGCGGUGAAAUGCGCAGAUAUCAGGAGGAACACCGGUGGCGAAGGCGGAUCUCUGGGCCUUACCUGACGCUCAGGCGCGAAAGCUAGGGGAGCGAACAGG
rnacentral:rRNA from 1 species